GUCCAACGAUGGGGUCACCGUCGCUCGGCCUGCCGGGCGAUAGCUCCUGGUAGGUUGGCGACAGCGUGCUAGUGAGCCACAUCGCGCCGCCGAGACUCUCGGAGCCGGCGUCCAUGAUGAGCUGCAGCUCCAUUCGACUUUCUUCCUCGUUCCACGUCUCGUGCUCGAAAAUUUUCGUGAUUUCGACGUACCAAAUUGGCCAAAAACAACAACUCUCUCUCUCUCUCUAUCUUUCUAUUUUUCCCUUUGGCUAUCCUAUCUAAUAAGCUACGCCGUGUGUCUUCUUAUCUCUCGAGAGGGGUGCGAUGAAGAAAUCGAAAGGACCGAUCAGGGCAAGAUAAGGGGGUUACCUUAUAAGAGGGACUGUCUAGUAAGGGGUUAUCGUCUUUGAGACUAUGUGCAUGUAUACAUAUAUCUGUAUAAACAAGGCAAGAUUUUCGCUCUCCUCUAGAUCCAAUUCACCGACACUCAGCACUUCGAUUCCAGGCCCCACUUCAUCGGGCUCGAAUUUUUCCAAUUUUCUUAUCACUUCACAAGAGUCUCGAAUUCGACGAGGAACAAGAAGAAGAUGACGAAGAAUAAAGAGCCACUUGGUAUAGUGCAUACGCCUCUCCUCUACCUCUUUCACCAGCAGCAGCACCACUCGACCACCGAAAAUAAAAGGGAGAAAAACGAAACAAAAAAAACAACAACAACAAACUCUACACGAAACGAUCGCCGUCCAGUCGAACAGCGUCCGGUUUCCUAGGGUACUCUCUGUCUCCUUCGUUAUGGGGGUUUCGCGCACACCAGGCACGCAUAAUCACAACAGAGCCACCAAAGCUUGAAGAUGCUACGAGCCCCUUGAGCCUUUAUUUUUUAGUGUUAAAUAUCACACAAUGAUCCGCGAGUAAAUUUUCUCUACGCUAUGCUUCCUCUCGCACUAUUUUCUCCGCUAUCUCUCUCUCGUUCUCUUCUCGGACUCCCAAUGGUGCGGCGCGCUGAUUAUCCACAGGUCUUAGAACAUCACAAAGAAGCUGUUGUACAAUUUCUUGAUGCCGGUCGUCUCGCGUUGCCGAUGAGUUUCCAGGAGGGCGCAGCCCCGCGACUUGAGGGACAAAGAACGCGAAAACACGACGUAAGCGUCCUCGAACACCAUGGCAACGCCUUGGCUGCAGCGCAUCUUGUUGUCGUCGCCGACAGCUACAGGGGAUGAGCGAUUAUGUUGCCGCUGCAGCUCUGGUGGCUUCUCUUCCGGGUCUCGACGUCUGCGUCGACGGUGACAGGCGAAGCAGCGCUUCCGCGAAUGCUGCGGCCGAACCUCGAGUUUUCGGUUGAUCGGGUAUCCUUGUCUAAAUUGAAUCCUGCUGGCGCUGGUUGCCACUCGGGCUUUCGUUCUCCUGACGAAGCUGCUCCUCUUUUGCUCGACGAUUCCAAAGCAGCUGCUUAAGCUCCUUUAUGCGUGGCGGGCGACUGCCGGCGCGACACUGAUGCUGCCAAGUGGAGAGAACGUUUCUGGCCCAACGACCAACGAAGCAGAGUGCACGAGUAGUUCGGUUAGAACCGGUCAGCACCGAGAAGCCUGUGCGUCUCUCGGCGCGGCGGAGCUGCCGUACUUGCUCUCGGAGAGGCCACAGCACACACUUUUACGCGGACUAGGCACUCUCGAGAGGAGAGAGAGAGAGAGAGAGAGAGAGCGCAACGCAAUGGCGAUGCGAAAUAAUGACUAUACGGCUCACACACUGAUUAGUGUCUUGCUGUCUCUAGGCAUCAGCCUAUCACGCUGUCACCACAUUUUUAAGAUCCUGCGCUCCAUGGCCGGCGGAUAACACACGGAGGAAAAUAAUGAAGAAUCAAAAAAAAAAAGAAGAAGAACUGCGUCACUGGUCGACGACUGGAAAUCGGCAACUGAUGAAUCGACAACGACGACAACAACUAAAGGUUUCGAUCGAGUUCGGGCGUUCCGGUGCCAAGGACUCGACACACCAAUCAAUGUCUCUCGAAGAGCAGCAACCAAUAGAGCUGGGCCAUUCAAAUCUUAUGGGCCUAGGCGCAGCCUUGGCGCGUCCCUCGGGGGUGUCGUGCUUCCGCCGCGAGAGGCCCCGAUGAUCUGCUGUCUCUCUGACACAACUGCCUAGCAGUCGACGUGCUAUACUCGCGCUAAUCUAGAGCGCACACACACACACAUACUAUCACACGGCGUUGAGCAUCUCGCGUAUACGUCUGAAGUUCAAGAGCGACAAGCUAUAUGCCAGCGACUAGCAGCGGAUCGGCCAACGUUCGGCUAACUCACAGCGAAUACCGCGAGAUGGUGUCUGCCUGCCAGUACAGCUGAAAGCUUAGAACAACGACGACGAAAGACUCACAAGCCAAUGGCAGAGCUUCGAGGAUUAAGGGCCCCACCAAUAGCCGAGACCCUCAAUUGGAGUCACUCAACGAGCGAACGAGAGAGAGGUGAUGACGACGACGACGACGACUACUACUACUACUACUACUACUGCUGCUGCUGCUGCGUCUUUGUGCCUCUGUGUGUCUGCGUUGAUGUUCGCGAUUGGCUUUAUUCGCCUCGCGCCGCGGCUCUCUUGCUCUAUCCACCUUCAAUACGGACCGACGACUGACUACGUACAUGCGCGGUGCAGCGGAGAUUCGGGUGAGUUUCUAGCUCUCUUAUCUGCCUUUCUCAGCUGUGUGCGACGAUAGCGCGCGUGUCGGCUUUGCGUAACCUCCUUUUUCCCCCCUAGACUAUAGAGAAUUCGACCUGCUGCCAGAGGAAGAUGCGAUUCUCGACGACGUUGGCCUCUUCUCCGAUGGUGUCUUCUCGGUGGAAAAUCGUGCAGUCUGGAAUCUGGAACAAUGAGUCGGCGGACACGACUUGCUUCAUUUCUUUGAUUGGCUUUUUAUGUGUGGAAUAUGUGCGGUUGGCUCUAGACAUUUGGGAGAUAAUACGACGGUCGCAUCUGCCGUGAGCGUGUAACGAGGCUUCGAUCGUAAAAUUCCGCUGCAGCACAAAUCCAUUCAUUUGCCGAUCUCUUUCAUUCGCUUGAAGGCACUAUUACUAUUAGGCGGCAAGAUUGUAAACUAAUCUAAUCUAAUUCAUACCAGUCACAUAAAUAUUAACUUUCUCGUGAGCCGCUGUUUUUCUCAAAUUCCAACGACUUUGUAUAUUAAGUUUUCCUCGAACGUUUUAAUGGAGAAUUGAAUACAUUUUUUUACGAGCUGAAUUUUUACGAUUACACGAGUUACUUAUCUCAGAUAUUAAAAAAAAAAAAAAAAAACGUACGACGAGAGAACACACUCCGGUGUGAAUAUCUUGCACCGGAGAUUUUAUCACGCUCAAAAUUACGCUUAGCUAGAUAUAAUAGGCUGUAUUAGAUGGAAAUACGAGCUGCGUUCCGAUUUCCCAUGGUAUAGGCAGUUGAAAAGUAAAAAAACGCUCCGAAAGAUACGACCGUUUUAGUUCAAGUUUAAAUCAAUCCAUCUACUUUCAAUUUGAAAAGCAGACGACAAAAUUAGGGUAGAAAGAAAAUUUAUUAAUAUUAUAUAUAAUUUUUAAAUGCACAACACUAACAACUCGGCAGACACACAAGCAAGCAAGGCAAGCACACUUCAGCUUCACAACCAAAAUUUCGCAUCGUAAGAUUUUGAUCCUCCCUCAAACAUCGUUAAAAAAUCUUAUCCAUAAUCGCACAAAGCAUCAUCAAUCAGCCAGAGCCCGUACAGCAACAAAUACUCCAUAUAGCCCACAGCGUUUUUGCUUCGACGACAAUUGGCCAGAGGACGAGUAAAGAGAAGCUCGUGUAUACACGCGGGACGAGUAAGAGAAGCGCCGCGACGGAAUAUAUCGGUCGUGAUUGGUGUUAAUGGGAAAGGUCACGCGCGAGCCACUCGGAAGACGAUGCCUUUUCAUCCUUUUCGUUUUAUUUCGCUGAUGCUCACGCGUGCAAGCACCUCUCCUUGUUUUGCUUCUAUUUGCCGUACUUGAGGGAGGGAUUUCACACAAUGUUACAUGUGUACACGAGGAAAGAAAGAGAGAGAGAGAGAGAGAGAGAGAGAGAGAGAGAGAGAGAGAGAGAGAGAUAG